AGAAACCCUCAAGGGAUGAUGUUCUUAAUAAGACCCAAGAAAAGGAUUCUGAGCCUCAGCGCUUUGAAGGAACCUCUUGGUCAAAAAAA